rnacentral:rRNA from 1 species
UACGGAGGGUCCGAGCGUUGUCCGGAAUUAUUGGGUUUAAAGGGUACGUAGGCGGAAUAAUAAGUCAGAGGUGAAAUCCUGCAGCUCAACUGUAGAACUGCCUUUGAAACUGUUAAUCUUGAGUAUGGUAUGGGUAAGCGGAAUUUAUAAUGUAGCGGUGAAAUGCAUAGAUAUUAUAAAGAACACCGAUAGCGAAGGCAGCUUACUGGACCAUAACUGACGCUAAUGUACGAAAGCGUGGGUAGCGAACAGG